CUGAACUCGAGUAGGGCCCAAGCAAGCCAGGAAGGAGGAGGCAGCCAGAGUGUUCUCUGCAGCAGAAGACCACUUGCUGCCCUGCUCAACCCAGCCCAGCAUUUGCCAGCUCAUUGGAAUAAGCAUUGCAGUAAACUCUGAUUGUGGCUUUUUAAGUGUACCAGAACCAAGUGGACUGAUGUGAGAUCCUGAUAUUGAGAUCACCAGGAGGAACAAGAGAUGUCCAUGUGGGCAACAAAGCUUCUAUCCCAAACAGCACCUAUUUCAAAUGUGGCUGUAGGUGGAGAAUAACAACUUCUUUCAACUAGUCAGGGCAAGAGAUAAUGAGAUGGAGGAGGCAGCAGUGAUAUUGAAUGCUGGGUGAAUGUACAAGGUCAUGAAGCAUACCUGCACUGAAAUUCAGUUCUUACAGUUCUCAUACCUGCAAAACAAUUUGUGCUGGAAAAAAUAAUAUUCAAUCACUGAUGGAGAAUGUGUCCAAUUGCAAAGAAAUCCUUGAGUGGCAUCAGCAAAACAAUUAAUAGAACUGGAAUGGCAUUAUUUCUGGAACAAUAAAGCACAUUCUUCCCCAAAUGUUAAAAAUGUAUUUAUUUUACUAUAAAGUUUUAGAUAAAUAUAUUUUAUAAACAUACACAUAACUGUAUUGUCUGGCAGAGUACAUUUCUAAUAAAGCCAUAUUUAU